UACGUAGGGUGCAAGCGUUUGUCCGGAAUUAUUGGGCGUAAAGAGCUCGUAGGCGGUUUGUUGCGUCGGCUGUGAAAUCCCGAGGCUCAACCUCGGGUCUGCAGUCGAUACGAGCAAACUAGAGUGUUGCAGGGGAGACUGGAAUUCCUGGUGUAGCGGUGAAAUGCGCAGAUAUCAGGAGGAACACCGGUGGCGAAGGCGGGGUCUCUGGGCAACAACUGACGCUGGAGGAGCGAAAGCCGUGGGGAGCGAACAGG
rnacentral:rRNA from 1 species